UCUACCUAGAGAGUGUAGGGAUCUGAGAAAAUAGUGAGAGCCUAAUUUGUUUAAAAAUAAAAUUUUUAAAUAAAUUGGUUAAGUCUGAUUAUAAAAUCUAACUAGAAACUUUUGACUCUCUAUAGGAAACAUGUCUCCGUCCAACCUCCUGACUAAAAUAUUAGACACCCACAGAUUGACUAGACCCAAUUUCAAGGACUGGUUGAGAAACUACAGAAUUGUUCUGAAUUUUGAGAAACUGACUCAUGUCUUGGACCAGGACCUACCUGCCAU
rnacentral:lncRNA from 1 species